CAGAAGGACAGGCUCCUGACGGCAAUAAGGAUUUGGUCAGACCAUCUGGAGGUCUAUAUCCCGUUCUAGGCGCUGCAGCUUGAAAAUGUACUGAAAAACUGGAAGAUUUCCACAGGAGGUGAGAGGGCCCUGGAAGCCAGUCCCUAGGAAGAGACUACAGCCCCACCUUUCACUGCACUCCAUGUAUCUGGACUGGCACCAGGAGGCCACAGAGCAAUCUGAAGUCAAGCUUAUCGCUUCCUGCACAGAGUGACCAUCCUCAGGCCACCUCAUCACUCAAAUCCCUCUCUCUGGUUGCUCUCAAGGAUUCAUAGAUUGGAACCACCCUUACAACUGCAGGGAACCUCACACCACCUCUGAGCAGCCAGUUUAUACUGGACCAUAUGCAGUGAACACGAACAAGGCUGGACCUCCCCACCCUGGAACCCUCCAAACAGAGUAGACUACAACUCCCACACUGAUGCUGAUGGAAACUGAAGCCCAGUGGCCUGAGGGCACUGGGCUGAGGACACACAAGAAAUUGUAGUAGGGAGGAAAGCACUCAUGGCUGGCCUUGCUGGGAGCUCCAGCUGCUUCUUGGCAAAGGUUUGCAGGUCAAAAUUCCCCAAUAGGAUUUCAAAAGGUGGGUGCGCGUGGGUGGGGGUGGAUAGAUGGACUGAUGUGUCUGGGCUUAGGGGGACAAGUGCUGGUGGUUGGGAAAUCUUCUCCCCCGCCGCUGGAGCUCACUGCCCAAGGACUUCCCGAAGGCCCUUCGACAAGGCCCAAUGUUACCCAGCUCGAAAUAAGCAG